GAACGCACAUUGCACUUUGGGGUAUCCCCCAAAGUAUACUUGUUUGAGCGUUGUUU
rnacentral:rRNA from 1 species